GCUCCUGGAAGAGAGGUUUUCCCAGGUGAAUUCAUUUUGUUUGUGACAGAUCGUUCUUGGCCAAUCUCUUUUCAGCAUC
rnacentral:pre_miRNA from 1 species